UUCCGGUUGAUCCCGCCGGACCCGACUGCUAUCAGAGUGGGAUUAAGCCAUGCGAGUCAACGUAGCAAUACGUGGCAUACGGCUCAGUAACACGUAGUCAACAUGCCCAGGGGACGUGGAUAACCUCGGGAAACUGAGGCUAAACCGCGAUAGGCCAAGAUUUCUGGAAUGGAUCAUGGCUUAAAUCUAUAUGGCCCCUGGAUUGGACUGCGGCCGAUCAGGCUGUUGGUGAGGUAAUGGCCCACCAAACCUGUAACCGGUACGGGCUCUGAGAGGAGGAGCCCGGAGAUGGGCACUUAGACAAGGGCCCAGGCCCUAUGGGGCGCAGCAGGCGCGAAACCUCUGCAAUAAGCGAAAGCUUGACAGGGUUACUCUGAGUGAUUUCCGCUAAGGAAGUCUUUUGGCACCUCUAAAAAUGGUGCAGAAUAAGGGGUGGGCAAGUCUGGUGUCAGCCGCCGCGGUAAUACCAGCACCCCGAGUGGUCGGGACGAUUAUUGGGCCUAAAGCAUCCGUAGCCGGUCCUGCAAGUCCUCCGUUAAAUCCACCCGCUCAACGGUUGGGCCGCGGGGGAUACUACAGGGCUAGGAGGCGGGAGAGGCAAGCGGUACUCGAUGGGUAGGGGUAAAAUCCACUGAUCCAUUGAAGACCACCAGUGGCGAAGGCGGCUUGCCAGAACGCGCUCGACGGUGAGGGAUGAAAGCUGGGGGAGCAAACCGGAUUAGAUACCCGGGUAGUCCCAGCUGUAAACGAUGCAGACUCGGUGAUGGGCUGGCUUCGUGCCAACCCGGUGCCGCAGGGAAGCCGUUAAGUCUGCCGCCUGGGGAGUACGGUCGCAAGACUGAAACUUAAAGGAAUUGGCGGGGAGCACCAC
rnacentral:rRNA from 1 species